UUGAGAAUAUAAGCUGCUCUGACAAGACUUGUUCUACCCUCGGGAUUUGAAGGAGGAGUAACAGCAUAAGAAGGCGGGUUUAUGGGACCAAAUACCAGAUUGAAUCUGCAACAUAAAAUAUUUAUCAGAAAAUGUUAUGUUAGAGCACUUGAGCAGCAGAUACAUAUUUUGGGGACUGGUCAGACGCCAUGUGGCACGGAUCAUGAAACGUCCACGAUUCUUUGAACAACAGCACCAAAAUGUCAUGAUGGACCGAACUGUACCGGUAUAAAAACAAGUACACGGUAUUAAAUUUUUUUUUAGAGUAACCCUCCCCUGCUCCAUCGUUCUCCCCUCAAAAUCUCCUGCUGUGUCAAGUUUCCACCCACCAUCUCUGGUCUCUGCCCUCUCUGCACUCGGUGAAAACCCAAACGCAGCCACACAAGCCCUAAAACAGCGACCUCUCCUCUCCCUUCUACCAUCCCCUCGCCUCAUCUUCCAUCUCCAGCACUUCCCCGCUUGCAGCGGCAGUCUCUCCUCGCUAAAACCCUUUGUUGUUGAGAAGAAGAAUGUACCCCAGUAUUUACUGUUGCGAGAUGAAUUCUGAGAGAACCAAUUAGCAAAGAAUCCAAUUGAUGAGUUAAUAUGGCAGUGGCCUUUCCAAUUAACAUAAAAAUAUGAAGAAUGAUAGAGGAAUGAGGAAGGCAGAAGGGGAGGAGAGAUAGAGCAAGAGAGAAGCAUGAUAAUUGCAUUGUAUAUUUCAUAUUCCUUCUGUUACAUGCAGUGUUGUAUUUAUAGGAGUGGGUAGAUUCUAGAGUCUGUUAUUUGAGGCACACGAGACUCUUGUAACACAAGGCUGAUGCUGGCAAUGAAUUUAUUUAAAUGGUGCGUGUAACUAAAGAGCUGUUUGAGCGUUAUUGAAAUGCCAUCGUUUCAUCAA